UACGGAGGGGGCUAGCGUUGUUCGGAAUUACUGGGCGUAAAGCGCGCGCAGGCGGCUAUCCAAGUCAGUGGUGAAAGCCCGGAGCUCAACUCCGGAACUGCCAUUGAAACUGUUUAGCUUGAGGAUGAGAGAGGUGAGUGGAAUUCCCAGUGUAGAGGUGAAAUUCGUAGAUAUUGGGAAGAACACCGGUGGCGAAGGCGGCUCACUGGCUCAUUACUGACGCUCAGGCGCGAUAGCGUGGGGAUCAAACAGG
rnacentral:rRNA from 1 species